rnacentral:lncRNA from 1 species
CUGACUGCAGCCCUCAUGCUUGGGAGUCAAACACUUUAACCACUGCACAAGUUUAUGUAACAGGAUUGAAAUAUCAGAAUUAGAGAAAUGAAUGAAAGAUUAGAGGUACGCAAGAGCCAAGUAAUAGUGGAGGUGAGAGGGGGAAGCGGGCAUGGCUGCAUGAGGGGGGGAGUAGGCGUGGCUGCAAAAGGACAGAGAAGGAUUCUUGACUCAAAGCAAAGAGUUUGUAUUUAACAGUGGCAGUGCUGAUAACCUAGCUGUGAAAUUGUGUAACAGCAUUGGUGAAGCUGGGUAAGAAGACUGAAAGAUCUCUCUCUCUCUUUUUUUUAAUGCUGCAUGAGAACAUUCAAAAAGCCUAACAAAAGUGGGAGACAGUGCUUGCUGCCAAGCUUGAUGACCUAAAUUGAAUCCUGGAACCUACAGGACAGAAAGAGAGAGCUGACUCCUGAAAGAUGUCCUCAGAUCUUCACAUAUGCACAGUGGCACCUCUCCAACCAUGCACAUAGUAUAUUAAAAUUAUUUUUU